GAAAUCCAACAGCACAGCACAGCAAGAAAGAGCGUCUUAGAAUGAGUAAAACUGCAAAGAUUGGUUGCUAAAUGUUGUAAAAUGAAGAAAAUAUAGCUCUGUUCGCAAAUUUUGUAUAUAUUUUUGAUUACGCGCGUAAUACAGAUAUAUACAAAAUUUGCGAAUUUCACAGGGCUAUAUUUUCCUCAUUUUACAACAUUUAGCAACCAAUCUUUGCAACUGAUUUUAAGAUGCUCUUUCCAGCUAUGAUAAUGGAUUUC